rnacentral:rRNA from 1 species
AUUGAACGCUGGCGGCAUGCCUUACACAUGCAAGUCGAACGGCAGCGGGGGAGAAGCUUGCUUUUCCUGCCGGCGAGUGGCGAACGGGUGAGUAAUACAUCGGAACGUGCCCUGUAGUGGGGGAUAACUAGUCGAAAGAUUAGCUAAUACCGCAUACGACCUGAGGGUGAAAGUGGGGGACCGCAAGGCCUCAUGCUAUAGGAGCGGCCGAUGUCUGAUUAGCUAGUUGGUGGGGUAAAGGCCUACCAAGGCGACGAUCAGUAGCUGGUCUGAGAGGACGAUCAGCCACACUGGGACUGAGACACGGCCCAGACUCCUACGGGAGGCAGCAGUGGGGAAUUUUGGACAAUGGGCGAAAGCCUGAUCCAGCAAUGCCGCGUGUGUGAAGAAGGCCUUCGGGUUGUAAAGCACUUUUGUCCGGAAAGAAAUGGCACUGGUUAAUACCUGGGGUCGAUGACGGUACCGGAAGAAUAAGGACCGGCCAACUACGUGCCAGCCGCCGCUGUAA